rnacentral:tRNA from 1 species
CUGAUGGAGUAAAUAAUAGAGGUUCAAGUCCUCUUAUUUCUA